rnacentral:sRNA from 1 species
GGAGAAGUAGUAUACACAGUUGUCAUGUAAGUUCUUAUAUUUACAUUUGAACAAAGUUAUUGUUUUGUGUGUGUUUCUUAUCACUAGGCGUAAAUUAAACAGUAGCGAGAGGUAGAAUUAAUCAUAGUAGAACGGUAAGUUUAGUUAGGGUAGGAAUCAAAACGAUAACGAUAGAAAGUGAAGAGAAGAGGCGCAUCAAGUGGAAAUCAAAAUUGUAAUAAUCGAAAUAAUCGAAACGAAACUGAAGGAUAGCUGGCUGCAUUUAAGUAGCAAUAAUAUAUAUACAUAAAUAUAUAUAACGAAAGGCCACCACUCAUAAUUUGGCGCAGUGUAAACGGGAGCAGGUCACCUUGAAAUCCGCCCCAAGCGUUGCAUGUCAGUGGGCCGGCUUUGGGCAAAGUGGAAAAUGGAAAAUGGGAAAUAGGAAAUGGGUGCUCGUGCACACAACCAAUGGAGGGGAAAAUGUCCAACAGUAUCUACGUCCACGAGAGGCAAGAGACCCAAUGCCAAUGGCUCCUCGGCCAAAUCGUUUAAAAUAACAUUUCCCAAGUUCGCUGAAAAUAUCCGCUAAAAAUAAGCAAGCCGAAGCUGGCGGUGAAAAUCAAUCAAUGUUCAGCACAAGUUUCCCACAAGUUGCCCACGCACUUGAAAAUAUUAUGAGAUGACGAUGGCCAGCAGGCGAUGGCGAACAAGUACUGCUGACAACGGUCUUUCAGUGCCAGAUUAAUUGCGAUUUGUAUGCGGCAAUCCGUUAAAUUCAUUAAAAUAUUAUGCACAAAUUCAUUUUGCAAAUAAAAAUCCGUAAUUAGCCUUUAGGCUUUAACGAG